ensembl:lncRNA
CAAGUUAGAGUGUACUGUCAACCUCAUCUUUACAUUUCAGCUCUUGUGCAAUACAUUCAGCCUUUAUACAGCUCUCAUAGCUGUGUAUCUGGGAUAUCGAAAUAUCUCAAAUGAAACCAAAUGUUUACAGAAGUUCACUUUGCUACUGUGUAAAAUCACUCUCAUUUCUCUCUGCCAAGUAGUCCGUGAGGUGAGAACAGGGCUGUUUACUGCACAAAUGCAAAAUCGAGUACAAGAGGAAACAACAGAGGAACAAAAUUCAGACCUGAGUCCUGGUGGAAGUUCCAUGAUAUUAGUUCCACUGAAGCUUUUAUUUGAGACGUUGGCAAUUUUGCUCUUCAGAUCCCUGACACCAGCUGGAAUUUUCAGUUCUACACGGAGGUAUUGUAGAAUCCAUGGUCUUCAGCCAUUCCUUGAACUUCAGAAAAUUCACUCAGGUCUGGAAGAAGGAUAUGUUCCUUGAAGGGUGCCAGAUGGUGAAGACUGUUGAUUUGAAGAAGACUGUGCAGAAAGGAGGCUUCUCUAGCCUGUAGAAGGGGGCAUUUGGAUAUCAAGGUCCCAGCCCUGAUGCUAUCUAUACCUGAGAAGAACAUUCUGGUGGAACCCUGCCUCAAGGGAAGCCUUCCACAGAAAUGGAGCUCGCUGGGGCAGCUCAGGUUGAACACAUAGCACUGCCAGGCAAGGGACUCCUCAGCCACCCUUAUCAAGCUCCAAUGGCCAGCCUGCCUCCUCUAACUGCUACAAAGAGAAUUUUCAGGAAGAAUCCAACCCAUCUCAUAUAGGCCUUGAACAGUAAUGCUCACAAUGUUUGGACACUUCAGAGAACAUAACUUUCAAUGUCUACAGAUACUCUCUUGGAUGAGCCAAAUGACUACCCUUAGAUUAUAAGUGUGAUGUAGACCAAAGGCACAUACACACGGUGUUGCUUCAGCUCAGAGAAUCAGCAGUAGCAUGAUGGAAUGGCCACUUGAAGACCCAUCCCAGGUGAUUUGAAUGAGCAACUCACAUCAGCGCAGACCUCUCAAAAGCGAUGUUUACAAGACUGUUAUGUUCAACAAUUUCCAAGCUGUUUCCAAUUGUGACUACGCUUCCAGUUGAGAUACACUUGCAGAAACAAUUUAAUUUCUUUCAGAUGAAUGCUCCUUCUCACAAUGAUUAUCUAUGGAAUUGCUGUCUCUACUGUUUCCC